GAUGAACGCUGGCGGCGUGCCUAAUACAUGCAAGUCGAGCGAACAGACGAGGAGCUUGCUCCUCUGACGUUAGCGGCGGACGGGUGAGUAACACGUGGAUAACCUACCUAUAAUACUGGGCUAACUUCGGGAAACCGGAGCUAAUACCGGAUAAUAUAUUGAACCGCAUGGUUCAAUAGUGAAAGACGGUUUUGCUGUCACUUAUAGAUGGAUCCGCGCCGCAUUAGCUAGUUGGUAAGGUAACGGCUUACCAAGGCGACGAUGCGUAGCCGACCUGAGAGGGUGAUAGGCCACACUGGAACUGAGACACGGUCCAGACUCCUACGGGAGGCAGCAGUAGGGAAUCUUCCGCAAUGGGCGAAAGCCUGACGGAGCAACGCCGCGUGAGUGAUGAAGGUCUUCGGAUCGUAAAACUCUGUUAUUAGGGAAGAAGAAAUGUGUAAGUAACUAUGCACGUCUUGACGGUACCUAAUCAGAAAGCCACGGCUAACUACGUG
rnacentral:rRNA from 1 species